AAGAGACAGCAGUAGCCGCGGUAAUACGUAGGGUGCAAGCGUUAAUCGGAAUUACUGGGCGUAAAGCGUGCGCAGGCGGUUAUAUAAGACAGAUGUGAAAUCCCCGGGCUCAACCUGGGAACUGCAUUUGUGACUGUAUAGCUAGAGUACGGCAGAGGGGGAUGGAAUUCCGCGUGUAGCAGUGAAAUGCGUAGAUAUGCGGAGGAACACCGAUGGCGAAGGCAAUCCCCUGGGCCUGUACUGACGCUCAUGCACGAAAGCGUGGGGAGCAAACAGGAUUAGAUACCCGAGUAGUCCCUGUCUCUUAUAC
rnacentral:rRNA from 1 species